rnacentral:rRNA from 1 species
AAGAGCUCAUCAUUGGAAUCUGGCAGUGUUUCACUGUCCGAGUUGUAGAUGAGGAGUAGUCCGUCUGGACUGCAUGGCGUCCAAGUACAAUAGGCCGUCAGUGGGACAUCAUAGAGGGUGACAAUCCCGUCCUUGACGCCAAUGUGCAAGUCUAUUACGAUGGCUAUCUCAGAGAGUCGAGCAGUUUGGGAUUUGCUGCUUAAACAUGGGAGGUAGAUUCCUUCUAAAGCUAAAUACAGGCGAGAGACCGAUAGAGAACAAGUACCGCAAGGGAAAGAUGAAAUAGCACUCUGUGAAGGGAGUCAAAAGGCGUGAAAUUGUUGCGAGAGAAGCGAUUCAAGUCAGCGUAGCUAGGCCCAUCAAGCGUCUUCGCUUUGGACUAGCUUUGCCAGCGGUCUUGUCCCUUAAAGAGACUUGACUUGUAAUAUGUCCAGCCUGGCGUGCACAGGCAGCCCCUUCUGGGGGGCCAGUGACAUGGCUGGUGGAAUGGCUUGCAAUCGACCCGUCUUGAAACACGGACCAAGGAGUCUAACAUGUAUGCGAGUAUAAGGGUGGCAAACCCGUAUGCGCAAUGAAAGUGAUUUUCGGUGAUUGAGAAUGGCCUGAUGACCAGACAAGCAAUAUAUGUCCCUCGUACGGCCAUUGCCCAAGUUCCGUGGUAGAUCCCACGAACAUGGAGUUGGAGCAUACAUGCUAGGACCCGAAAGAUGGUGAACUAUGCCUGGACAAAGCGAAGCCAAAGGAAACUCUGGUGGAGGCUUGUAGCGAUUCUGACGUGCAAAUCGAUCGUCUGAUC